AUUGAACGCUGGCGGCGUGCCUAAUACAUGCAAGUCGACCUUAGCGGUGAACGGGUGAGUAACACGUGGGUAACCUGCCCAUCAGAAGGGGAUAACACUUGGAAACAGGUGCUAAUCCCGUAUAACGAUGGAUGGACCCGCGGUGCAUUAGCUAGUUGGUGUGGUAACGGCCAACCAAGGCCACGAUGCAUAGCCGACCUGAGAUGGUGAUCAGCCACAUUGGGACUGAGACACGGCCCAAACUCCUACGGGAGGCAGCAGUAGGGAAUCUUCGGCAAUGGACGAAAGUCUGACCGAGCAACGCCGCGUGAGUGAAGAAGGUUUUCGGAUCGUAAAACUCUGUUGUUAGAGAAGCGGUAUCUAACCAAAAGGCCACGGCUAACUACGUGCCAGCGGCCGCGGUAAUAC
rnacentral:rRNA from 1 species